AACUUCAUGGAGCUAAAGGGCUACUUUUAAACAGAGCAAAGUCAUUUCGUCAAAUAGGAAUUGUUUGAACCCAUCCAUCUCCAACUAUCCAGCCCAGUGACAGCAUCUGAAAUUCAAGCAGAUACCAGGUCCCAACUUCUUGUCUGGGGUAAAGUUGAGUUUUGUUUAGAUUCUCAUUUUUGUGUAAAUUGUAAAAGCAAAAUCUCCCCAGUAACAAGUGACCUUGCUUGGCCUUUGAUUUUCAUUGGUCAGAUUUGUUGCGCAUUGACCUUCAAAGUUUGUAUUUAAAUAUCGAGCUUCCUUGUUCACUGACAAAGUGAGUGUGACACCGAGAUCACAGAUACCAUCGGUGUGCAUUCAGUGUGAACUACACGGAGAAAUUCACCCCCUCCACGGAAACAGUGCAGGCCAAUAAAAUGGUUUCGCAUAUGUUGCUGGUAUUGAGUUUUCCUGCCAUCAACUACAUAAUGUCCACUAUGUCAUUGACCCUUGCAAAUUGCCCACAGUGACCGCAACAAACACAGUACUUGUGAUGGCUCCAAAGGCACUGUGAGGUAUGGAAUGGAUCCCCUCAAUGCCUGCAUGUAUGAGAGAAGACACAACUGGAGAAGAAAUAUUUAAGUUACUGUAUAAUUUAAUGGAAUUGGAAUUGCUUAAGUGGAGAACUGAGUUGCUGUUUACAGGGAUGGUGCUACCAUUAUAACACGCAAUACAAGAGGAGUUGUUGCAAAAAUCAGCAUCCUAAACCCAUAGGUAAUCGUAAUUCAUUCUAUGUUGCAUGUCUAUCUGUUUCUUCAAAAUAAUGGAAUUCAACUUAAAUGCUGGCCGAGAUUUAGAGUACUAAAGGUGGAGGUAAACAUUUUCAGGGACAACUAACAGCCUGCCUCCACUUGUGAGAAAAUGUGCCAGAUCAAUAGCAAGAGACAAUUGAGAAACAAAACCAUAAGGAGAGUCAUGGAGUAUUUGGAUUUAUGUGGUUCAAUGCUGGAUGACAGCAAUAUGUUGUGUUGUUAUCCAACAAAACAAUACAGCUUGCAAAAGUAAAGCAACAUCUCAGAAGAAAACAUUUCAAAAAUAAAGAUAAGUCACAAAAUUUAUUUGGUUAUAAUAAAGAACAGUACAGUCGUUAGAAAUAACAAAUGAUGAAGAUAACAUCAGUUCCUGGAAGUACUCUGAAAGCAUCUUUCUUAAUGUCCCAUUUGCUAAUAACAAUGGCUAAAAGCAAGAAAGUCUGUACUGUCAGAGAGAAGCUGAUCAUUCUAAUGGAUGAAGAAAUGUGUUAAGUGAUGGUAAGUGAAGACACUGCACAAAAACUGAAGGCUCUAUCAUUUCUAAUGCCACAGUCAACAAAAGGAUUGAUGAACUUUCAGGGGAGUUGUAAAAUAUCAAAUGACAGAAUGGCUUUGAAAUUCUAAUUUACAAUUUAAUGUGCUGAGACAACUCAUGGCAACUGCUAGCUUCUGCAUUAUUGCAAAGUCUUCAGAGUGCUGUGAACAAGAAGUAUUUUUAGAGUCACAUUCAGCAAUGCAUCUGAUCUUAGGGCGGAUGAUGCUUGGAUGAAAGAACUACUGUCUGUUCUUUCCAUGCACAACCCUGCAUUGGCAGAAAAAAAUUCUGAUCAGUUACGGUUAACAAAUCUGUAAGGGUGCAAUUGAAUGGUACUUACAGUAAGUGACAUGAUUUAGAAAGAAAACUGAGAUUUUGAAACUAGACCAAGCAAUCAAGCUUCAGAAACGUUUCUACUAUGAACUGAACUUCUAGAUUCACACACAACAAUGGUUGAUGGUGUGAAUGAAAAGCUUAUUGCUCAUCUUCCAACCUUGGUAGAGUACUUCAAUCUCUAUUUUUAAAUGUAAAUACAGAUUUGUCCUGUUCGACCAUAAAACCAUAAGAAAUAGGAACAGGAAUAGGCCGCUUGCCUCAUUCAGCCUGUUCCAACAUUCAAUAGGAUCAUGGAUGAUCCAACACAUCUGGUUUCUGCUUUCCUGCCCUUUCCCCAUAACUCUUGACCCCCUCAACAAAUCAAGAAUCUAUCUCAGCCUUAAAUAUACA